ACGCACGCUGGCGGCGUGCUUAACACCUGCCAGUCGAACGGAAAGGCCCUGCUUUUGUGGGGUGCUCGAGUGGCGAACGGGUGAGUAACACGUGAGUAACCUGCCCUUGACUUUGGGAUAACUUCAGGAAACUGGGGCUAAUACCGGAUAGGAGCUCCUGCUGCAUGGUGGGGGUUGGAAAGUUUCGGCGGUUGGGGAUGGACUCGCGGCUUAUCAGCUUGUUGGUGGGGUAGUGGCUUACCAAGGCUUUGACGGGUAGCCGGCCUGAGAGGGUGACCGGCCACAUUGGGACUGAGAUACGGCCCAGACUCCUACGGGAGGCAGCAGUGGGGAAUAUUGCACAAUGGGCGGAAGCCUGAUGCAGCAACGCCGCGUGCGGGAUGACGGCCUUCGGGUUGUAAACCGCUUUCGCCUGUGGCGAAGCGUGAGUGACGGUAAUGGGUAAAGAAGCACCGGCUAACUACGUG
rnacentral:rRNA from 1 species